ensembl:lncRNA
CGGCAAACAGAGAAAGUUAUCUGUGGCUCCCAGCAGGUAGAUGUUGGUGACUGAACUUCUGUUAAGAGGAGUAUUUGAUGACCACGACCUUAUCCUUUUCUGCUGCUUCUCUGUUGCUGCCCAUGCACAUCCCCUGAUGCACAGCAUGUAUCCCUUCAUCUUGAUCAUCACUGGAAAAGGCGAGAGUGUACAAAGUUAAACAGCAAAAAUAUAGCUGACGCUUGUCUUCUUUCUCUCUCCACAAACACAGACACGAAUUCUCUCUAGUUUCUCCAGGGGGUGAUAACAGCAAGGCUCCUUCCCUCUGGAAACAUAUACAAUUUUGCUGGAGUAAUAAAAACACCAAAGAGGAGAACCAGCAGCAGACACAGGACUGGUUUGAUUUUAUUUUCUCACCUCUGUGGAGAGCGAAGCAGUAAAAUCUUUCAAGAGGCCUGCGUCUGGGUAUCCCGCUGCUGCCUUCAGCCCCAUCUCCUGAGCAGUAGGAGUGGUGGCUUCACAGCCUUUUCAAGUUAUUCAGAAUCAGUUUCCAGUGUGCAAAUGUUAUCUAGAAGCAUGAAGACAGCUCUGGGAAAAGAAACAGCUUUGCAUCAACAUGAGACACAGCUCAUAUUCUCUUUUACAUGAGGAUGUAACUAGCUCUGUUUUACCUGACGUGAAUGUAAAUUGAUUUUCCUCCUCGUUCCCAUGAUGAAUUAUCUUCCUCAAGCUGUGCUACUGAGUGGUCAGAAAACACAGAAAGAAUGUGUCAGGAGCUUGAAGAAGAAGCAAAACAGUUCAAUGACAGUGAUCGAACUCUAUCCAAACACAGUCUGACGAUCGCUAUGAGACUGGAAGUAUGGUAAAUAUAAAAAAUAUAAAGAAAAGUAACAGUAUGUUCACUUUUCAACCAAUAAACAAAUAUAGCCAAAGAAACUCUCUGAAGUAUCUGGAAGAAAUAGAGAGAACAGAAAUCAGGAUGGAUUUUUUAUUUAUAGCAAUGGCCAUGUGAACAGAACAUGUGGAAAAAUCAGAACACAAGAAGGAGAAAAGGAGCCAUGAUGUUAAAGCACUAGCUGGCAAGGAAGAGUAGAAGGAAUAAAAUACUUCCAUUGUCCAGUGUUCGAAUACUACUCAUAAAAGCUCAAGUGGGCUCUGUGAUGAAGUGGGAAUUAAGCAGCAUGCCAUCCUGCCACCACUCCCUCACCAUUGACCGGUGUUUCGCAUGUUUCUGCAGGAAACAGAUGCUUGGACACGUAUCAAAUCUCGCAAAAGCCACCAGCCAGAAAUGUGAUUGCAGAAGAACGGUCAGCAGUUAUGUCGAUUUUUUUUCCAAUCUGUUUUUAAAAGCAAAACUGAAAUAACUUUAACUGUAGAGAAG